UCACUUUACUACAAAUAGUUAAUUUUUAUAGUAUCUAUGUAAAUAGUAUACAAGGGUCAUAAUCGGUCUGUACAAUUUCAAUUGUGAUAAUUUGUUGAGGGUUGCCUAAAUCGUCACACUAAAAGAGUCUAUAGUUAACGCUAGAGCCGUUGCCGUUAUUUUUAACAAUUUUAACUUUAUAAAAGUAAUAAGUACGCUAAACUUGUUCUUUGAAUCACCAUGAGUAUAUGCAAUCUGUUACAAGACCUGUAUUGAUAGUUGUUGCCAUCAGAUUACUGCUUGUUAUACUAUGACCAGAGAUAUGCAGUGACGCAGUUGUUGUUGACGUUAGGUUCGCAGGUGUGUUUUGAGGUUAUUCAUAUUUUUGUUUGUAAAUUUCGUUUUUAUUGAACUUUAAAUAUGUCUUGUGCUUUGUACUGUGAAAGGAAGCGCAAAUUGCAGAAGAUGUCCAAUACAAAACAUUUCUAAAUAUUUAGCUUUCCUAGAAAUGAAACUUUACAGGACAAGGACAAGGUUCUUUCUAUCGAAAAAGAAAAUUGGGUAUGGACAAAAAAUAACGUAAUUUGCUCUGAACACUUUAAAGCGGAUGAUUUUCUCCCCUUUUGUGGAAGAAAAAUAGUACGACCCAACUCUGCACCUUCCAUAAAAUUAUUUUGUGGUGUAUCUUCUUCCAUUUUAAGCAAGAGUUCUUUAUCGAGUUCAAUUAAUACAGGAGCUUUCACGAACAAAUUGAUGUUACAAUCAAGUGAAUCAUCUUUGACCUAUAACGUUACUGAAGUUCGAGUAGGUACAACGUAAAAAGAAGAGACAACUGAAUUCAAGGUAAUAAAGAUUUGUAAUUUAAAAAUAGUAGUAAUGCUAAGGAUGUUAAAUACGUACCCUGACAAAUUGUUUGAUACGGACCUAAUAAAUUAAGAAGUAAUAUUUACAGUAAUUUUAUUUUCAGUGUUCAGAAUACAACGAAUGGUAACACUAGUACUGAUAGUAGUGCUAAGAGAAGGAGUAUUAUGGCAAUGAAAACAUACUUUAAUGGAUAACUUUAAUAAUGAAAAUAUCUUUGCAGUAUAUCUCCUUCUACAGUUGCAACGAAAAAUGUUAAACUGAAACGUAGACAGGAAACUUACCGUUCAGUCUUUACGAAAUGAAAUUAAGGACGGAUUAUUCAAGGCCCUGCAUUAAGACAAAAAUUAAAUAAUUAUUUUCAACCAUCAGUAAAUAAAUAUGUUACGUUA